CACGGAGCCCAUCCAUCCGGCCAUCAUCCCCUUCCUCCCACCGCACACGCGUCCUUCCCGCCGGUGCUCCGACCGGGGCGGCGACGGCCGGGAUCUGGAUUCUGGACGGUCUGCUCUCCUUCAGUGUUGUGCCGCUAUGCCGUGCUGCUGGAGGACCGCUGCUUCUCGUCCUCUCAGGCGCCCCCGGUACGCCGUCAGUCCUCAAUCUUCAUCGCUCACCAGUCACCAGUUCACCACCAUAGGGGGGCCCUUCAGGGCACCUCAUCCAUCGCCACCUUCCUCCUCUGCAUUGCUAAGGUACUAAAGUUUAGCACGCGGAAGCCAGGCCCUUAAGUUUCCAUCACGACCGGAGGUUCUUGAUCAAGACUCAAGAGUGAUGCUUGCAGCGCACUGAUGACAGAUUAGAAAGGAGGAGCUUGUCACGGUAACAGAAUGUCAGUAUUUAGAGCUAUGGAGCUUUUCGAGUUCUAUAUGGAUGGUUGUUUAUUUUACGCAUAGGUUAAAAUGUGGAAUAGACUGUGUCUUAAAAUUUCUGAAUGAUA